UACGGGGGGGGCAAGCGUUGUUCGGAAUUACUGGGCGUAAAGGGUUCGUAGGUGGCCAACUAAGUCAUACGUGAAAUCCCUCAGCUUAACUGGGGAACUGCGUCUGAUACUGGUUGGCUUGAGUGCAGGAGAGGAACGCGGAAUUCCAGGUGUAGCGGUGAAAUGCGUAGAUAUCUGAAGGAACACCGGUGGCGAAGGCGGCGGGCUGGACUGCAACUGACACUGAGGCACGAAAGCGUGGGGAGCAAACAGG
rnacentral:rRNA from 1 species